UACUGAAGACAUAUUUAAGCCUUGUUUGAGUCCCAUUCUUUUGGAAAAAUAUAUUUUUCAACAAUAUUUUGACAUCAUUCCAAUCACAUAUUCUUUAAUAAAAUAAUAUUACACGUAAAUCCAAAAUUUUUUCUUAUUUUUUAACCACACAUUUUCCAUCAAUACACUAUUCAAAAAUUCAUUCUUCCCAAAAAAAUGGGGCUCAAACAAGGGUUUAGUGUUUUGUACUGGACAUGAUUGGAAAUUUAUAUCAAACUUGUCUUGAAUUUAUAAUGCAGUGUUUUCUUUCUAAUGGAAA
rnacentral:lncRNA from 1 species